rnacentral:rRNA from 1 species
UACGAAGGGGGCUAGCGUUGCUCGGAAUUACUGGGCGUAAAGGGCGCGUAGGCGGACAGUUUAGUCAGAGGUGAAAGUCCAGGGCUCAACCCUGGGAUGCCGGUCGAUACUGCCGGACUAGAGUUCGGAAGAGGCGAGUGGAAUUCCCGGUGUAGCGGUGAAAUGCGCAGAUAUCGGAAAGAACACCAACGGCGAAAGCACUCUGCUGGGCCGACACUGACACUGAGAGACGAAAGCUAGGGGAGCGAAUGGG